GACCGUAAGGGUGCCUAUUUGUGGUAUGCUAGAAAACGAUUGCCGUUUGCAUGUCUAGUUACGAAAUAACGGAAAAUUAUAUAAUUAUACGAAAGUGCUUCAAUGAAUACUAUUCAUGAUGCAAGAAUAUUAACAGUAACUAGUUCAAGUAAACAUUUUGUGCUGCAAAUAAUAGAAAUUAAAAACGUUAAAUAAAUAAGACAACUUUUUUGUAUUACAUUAAUUUUUUUUAUUGUGUUAAUAUACAAAAACACCUAUGAUAGAAAAAAAAUGAAGUAAUUAAAAGACAGUCUAUAUAUGUAAAGAUUUUUAUUGUAAGGUCAAUUUUUUUACAAAUACAAAUAACUUUUGUAACGCUUAACCCUGUUUCUGGGCCAAUUCUUGGGUCUUAGGCUUUUCAAUCUUAGCAGUACAUGUGGCUGAUUUAGAACCUAGCAUACCACCGCCCGCAGUGACGUGUUAUUUCGUCACCAGUGUCGUUACGGAAAGUUCAUUUGAGUAUUUUAGGGUAAACGAAAUAUUAUUUGCAUUUUAAAUCAAAAUACAAAAAAAUAAACACAUUAACCCAUUUUAGAACUUGUCAGGCACCUCUGUGGAACCCUGCUCAACAAAUAUCUGGCUUGUUAUUAGCUAUAUAAAAUUUAAUGGUUGAAAAUCCGUAUUUCAGUGAACCAGUUGUAUAUAAAGUAAGUAAAACUUACUGAUACUCACGGGUACACACACCAUUAAAAAACGUCAGUUAAUAACCCAUUAUAAUAGAAAACAGAUUUUAAUCAGGGUUGAGACAGAAGUGAGUUUUGAGGAAAAUAUUUCUGGCGAUUUCACUAGGUCUAACGACCUUAUUCAAUACCAGACCGUAAGGGUGCCUAUUUGUGGUAUGCUAGAAAACGAUUGCCGUUUGCAUGUCUAGUUACGAAAUAACGGAAAAUUAUAUAAUUAUACGAAAGUGCUUCAAUGAAUACUAUUCAUGAUGCAAGAAUAUUAACAGUAACUAGUUCAAGUAAACAUUUUGUGCUGCAAAUAAUAGAAAUUAAAAACGUUAAAUAAAUAAGACAACUUUUUUGUAUUACAUUAAUUUUUUUUAUUGUGUUAAUAUACAAAAACACCUAUGAUAGAAAAAAAAUGAAGUAAUUAAAAGACAGUCUAUAUAUGUAAAGAUUUUUAUUGUAAGGUCAAUUUUUUUACAAAUACAAAUAACUUUUGUAACGCUUAACCCUGUUUCUGGGCCAAUUCUUGGGUCUUAGGCUUUUCAAUCUUAGCAGUACAUGUGGCUGAUUUAGAACCUAGCAUACCACCGCCCGCAGUGACGUGUUAUUUCGUCACCAGUGUCGUUACGGAAAGUUCAUUUGAGUAUUUUAGGGUAAACGAAAUAUUAUUUGCAUUUUAAAUCAAAAUACAAAAAAAUAAACACAUUAACCCAUUUUAGAACUUGUCAGGCACCUCUGUGGAACCCUGCUCAACAAAUAUCUGGCUUGUUAUUAGCUAUAUAAAAUUUAAUGGUUGAAAAUCCGUAUUUCAGUGAACCAGUUGUAUAUAAAGAAAAUAUUUCUGGCGAUUUCACUAGGUCUAACGACCUUAUUCAAUACCAGACCGUAAGGGUGCCUAUUUGUGGUAUGCUAGAAAACGAUUGCCGUUUGCAUGUCUAGUUACGAAAUAACGGAAAAUUAUAUAAUUAUACGAAAGUGCUUCAAUGAAUACUAUUCAUGAUGCAAGAAUAUUAACAGUAACUAGUUCAAGUAAACAUUUUGUGCUGCAAAUAAUAGAAAUUAAAAACGUUAAAUAAAUAAGACAACUUUUUUGUAUUACAUUAAUU
rnacentral:lncRNA from 1 species